GGACUGGGAAAUCUCUACUUAUAUCCAGGAGCCCCUGCAUGUCCAACUUUGACUUGUACCACCAAAGAGGGAAAGCAAUGACAAUCAACUGGUGAACAGUUUGCCUAAUGAGGCAGUUACAGCACUCAGAAGAUGCCCUGAAAUCAAGUUCUAGAUCCAGGUGAAAUUCCAGUUCCUUCACUAACCUACCCUUCAAGAUUGCUCCCACAACAACACAAACACAGUGAAGACAGCAAAAAUGUGACACCCUCCUCUUCUGGAACAAGGAAGAUGAUCAGCUUUUGGAAAAAAUAAAGGUGUUUGAGAAAUGCAUUAUAACGGAAGGAAAUACCAAGAAAGAGAGUGAGCACAAAAAGGGAAAGCAGCAGAGGAAGAGGGAGAAGCAGGCUCCCCACUGAGCAGGGAGCCCGACAUGGGAUCAUGACCUGAGCCUAAAGCAGACUCUGAACUGACUGAGCCACCCAGGAGCCCCCAGCGAAUGUUUUGGUCUGAGCUUAGCCCGUUCCCAUGAGCGCCUAUUAAAGUGACUAUUGGCUUCAGGUAAGGGUGGGUUAAAGCCCAGGGUCCUAGAAGAAACAUAACUAAAAUUUGGUUAACAAGCACUUUGUUCUGAUUGAUCAGUGAAAACAAAACAGUUCAGCUAAUUAUUGAUGAGACAAAGAGGGAAAAUCAGGAGGAUCUGUGUCUCACUUCAUCGUAAGUAAUGAAGGGGCAUCUGCAAGUCUUAUCUAAGUCAUGCAGUAAGAUCCUUGCAGGGACAUAAAGAGAAAUGAGUUUCUUCAUUGUCCACUUUCAAAGACCACAGGGCUCAAGUGAAAUUGAGUUUUGUCACAUCUUACAAUUCAACAUGUUUAAGACUCCUGAGUUUUAAAAUUGACAGUACUAUAUCCUUCCUACUAAUUACUUUGCUUCCAAACUCAGGAUCAUUAUCACUUGGCUGGUGGAUCCAGAAAUCUAUGAUUACCCUUUGACUCAUCAUCCUGCAGAUGAUCGCUCUACCUCUACAUACUAUCUAUUCUCCCACUUAAAUACAGUUCAAAUUUGUGAAUAUUUUUGUAUCUCAAUAGCCAUCUUCUCGUUCUAGGGUAUUAUCAUUUCGUGCUCUCCCUCAUUCUAUCACAGAUUAUCUUUUCAAAAUGCAACCUCAGACACUACCGUGUUGAAAUCUUCCUUCAGAUACUGGCCUAUUGUGUGUGUGUGUGUGUGUGUGUGUGUGUGUGUGUGUAUGUGAAAGAGAGAGAGACAGAGACAGAGAGAGAGAGAGAGGAAGGGCAGAGAACCUUAAGCAGGCUCCAUGUCCUGUACAGAGCCUGAUGCAGAGCUCACUUUCAUAACCCUGAGAUUAUGACCUGAGCGGAAAUCAAGAGAGAGAUGCUUAACUGAAUGAGCCACCCAGUCGCACCACUGGCCAAAAUCUGUAAAGUGACUGCAUAAAAUCUGGCCUCUUUACCUUCACGUCCUCUUCAUUUCACUGUCUACAUCAAUCCCCACAUAUAAUUCUAACAUAUUGACAAGAUUUCCAGGUACCUAUGACUUGGAUUUUUUUCUACCUUCUCCAUUUCUUGCCACUACCUAUCCCAUCUGUAACCAGUGAGUUACCUAUGGUGGACUUGUCUCUGCCCCAGGCUUUUGUACAUUGAUUUGCCUUUUCUCCAUAUAUUUAACACAUAAUAUUCUCUAUCUGCAAACACAAAGCAUUUCUAUUUUCUCUGUCCCUGAAUA